UAUUAGAAUUACAUUUGUUCUGAUGAUUAAGCAGAAUAGAUUCAACAUUUUAAGUCAAAGGAAGAUAAUCACUCUCAUCUAACAAAUUUUUAGAGUUUGGCACACACACAGACAAUAUUACUAGAGGUCACACACACACAUUACCCUAGGACACACAAAGUCCAAAAAUGCUUAAAGGAGGUCGUGAAGGAAUUUGAAAAGGUCGUCGAACUACAUUAUUCUGAUGAUUGGAAAUCUUUUUUUUUUUUUUGAUCAAGAUUGGAAAUCUUUUUACAUUGUAUUGUCUGGCUUAGUUUAGGAUUAAAAUUCUUAAAAUAUAAGGAAGCUUUUGUAUGCCUGAGUUAUGCUAAGUUCACAAUAUGAAGUGACGGGUAACAAAACCUAAAAUGAUUUACUCCGCAAACGGUUUAAUACAUGCGAGCCUUACAGGUUUCAGACCCAAACCAACGUAAGCAGAUUGACAUGAAUACAAAAUAGAAAUUAUGUUAUAUUCUGGACAACAACACAGAAGUUCAAUCCUUAACAGUCCCCCCUUUCUGCAAACACAUUAAAAUGUAUAAGAUAAUCCGAAAUAACACCAGCAACAUCUUAUGGUUCCUCAUCACGUAAGAGAGGCAUCACAAUGCAAGAAGUCCCAAAUGGUUCCAAGAGCAUCUCUAAGCAUUUCUAAAACACAGCCCCUCUCAAUGUUCUGCUCCUGCACACCAUAAGGGUAAUAAUCAUUGUAACCUCAAUUCAAUAAAGGUUUCAAAGACGCAAAAGAAAAACAGUUUACCUGUAACUUAGUGUUGAUGUCUUGAAGUAUCAAAGUCACUCCCCUCUCAACUUCCCAUGUCCCAAACCUCUCACUAUACCCAUUAGUCUCUCUGACCCUUAGCCUGAGAGUCUUGUUUUUGUAGGUAGUAGCUCUAACAUGACAAACUUCAAAUAUUGUGUAUCCAUUUUCAGAUGGAGGUUUACCAUGCGGCCACGUUAAUCCCCCUUUCACAGUCGAAUCUACAGUUACUGAAUCCAGCAUUCUUUGAAUGUUACUUCUCUCUUUCUCCUGCUUAUCAUAGAAAUAUAACCAAGAUAAGUUCAAGAAAAGCAUAACUAUAUCAAAAUCAACUCACCGUUAGGGUAAACAUCUUCCUUUUCCCGGCGAGCAUAAACCUCAUAUCAAGAUUCUUAUCGAUGCACGACACAUCAACAACCAAAUGCCUUAGAGGAUUCAGCUCAGCCUGCACCAAAAGGUCCAAGUUAAUAUCAUUGAUGAUGUUUAUAUAUAUGUUCACAGAAAGGGCUCAAGCCUUGCCUUGUACAUACUGAGACUUCCAUCUUCCUUCACGGUACAUUUACAUCUGAUGGUUGAAUGAGGACGAGUGUAAUGCGAUAUCUGCACAACAUACACUUCCUUUUCCAAGUCUAUACAAAAUUCAUGGCUUGGAAUAGCCUUAGACUUUAUGUUUUGUAUGAACGAGGUUGGGACAUCCGUACAGAAUGUCCUAUUUGAUGAUUUUGCUUGCCAAUAUUCAGUUACAGGACCAGCAUGAAUCCUAGUUGUAUGUAGUAUAUGUUAGAAAACAAGGGCUAAUGAUAUUUGUAAUUAGAAAUUUAAAGAUCUAAGACAAAAUUGAAAUGUUUACCUACGAAAGAGAAUUUUACCAAACCUAGCAACCAAUCUCAGUUUCGCAUUAUCUGAAAGAUGAUGAUCCUGCAUUCCCUUCUUAGCUUGCUCAUAUGCAACGACAAGAUCCUUCUCAACCUUCUCUGCUAUUAACAUCCACCGAGUUCUCUCUUCUUCUUCACUUUCCUCAGCUAUCACAUUUUCUGAGUACAAACAUAUUAAAAAAAUAAAAGAGAGUGUUUUCUUCUUUAGGCAAGAAGGAUCAUGGUAGUUACAAAAUACUUAGAAACUAGUGUUACCUUUUUCUACAUUAGUGUUCAUCAAUACGAAAGAUUUUUCUCCAUAUCUGCUAUCAGAAGAAUCCGAAGACACCGGCACAAGCUUAAUAGAUGGAGGAACCUCAUCCGAUAUUCCCUUUGAACCAAUAAGAAACCAUUUGAAAAUGGCAUCUCUUGAAUAUGCUAUAUUGACUUUAACACUGCUACUUUUGAAGUCAGUGUUUUUCAUGACUUUUGUAGCUAGAGAAUCUGGAAAAGGGGAAGGGCUAACGGGAUCCUUCAAUUGGCGCUUGUGUGGAGGAAUAUAAGACAUGUUUGAACCUGAUACUCCCAAACAUAAAAGGAAAAAAAAAAAGAUUUAAACAACAAUUAAUGAGUCGUCACUCGUCGGCUCUAAUUCAAACUUAAACUUGGAGCUACGAGAGGCAAUGGUUAGUACGUAAGCUUAAAGAGAAACCACACCUUAGGAGAAUUAUAGAAAACGAGAGCAGACUUUUCAGUUGUUACCAGAUAUAUCCAAAGGAGCGGCGAGCUAAAUAAGUGAUCCAAAGACGUAUGUUUUUGUUAGAAGAUAAAAAUGUACCGUUGAACUUUUUUUAAACGUUAAACUUACAUUACAUAUCUAUAUAUAUACAACUAAGUUAAAGCACUGAUGUUCCAGCAGAAAAAUACAGUGAACUCCAAGAGACUCUUAUCUCAUUUUUUAUCUUUCACUUGACUCCUCGACUUCCUCAAAACAUUAGCAAAACUUAUGGUCAACUUUUAUGGACACUUACUUAUUAACUAAUUUUUCUUGUUACUGAAAUAGUGAAACAAAUAUCCUAGCACCCGGAUAUUCAAAUGAUUACGUUUUUUUUUGUAGUUGUGGUUAAAAGAAAAAAAACAAACUACAUCCACGAGGUUUGAUGUAUGAAGGUAUAUGGAGCGUCACGUAGCGUGAGACGACGCAUGGUAUCGUGUCAGAAUAUCCAAUUGUUUUCUAUUAUGAAAAACGAUAAUUACAUUGUUUUCUUUUUUUGUGCAACAUGAUAAUUACAUUGUAAUUUUCAAGAAAAAUAUUGUAAAAAUAGCAAAAUAUUUCCGAAAACGAUUUAUAUACAAAAACCCUCUAUAAAAUUACUAAAAAGUGUUUAAAAAGUAUUUGAACAGUUACCUCUCGCUGAUUAUGAUGUUGAGACAAACUCAGGAGAUAAUUCAGAUGAUGAAACCGAUUGAGUCACAGUGGCUAAUGCAGUUGCUGGCCGAAGCUCAAAUGCUGAGAUCUCCAAAGGCACCACUGCGGAUGUAUCUGUAUUAGAGUCCCAUGAAGACACACUGGAGAAUGGAAUGCCCAUUCCUGCAUCGGUGGGAGAUGAUUCACCGACUUGUAGCAAAAUCGAUGAACAGAUCUUAGAUAUACCUGCUGAAUUUCAUUCCAGUUAUAUGCAUGAUGAAGGCUUUCAUGAACUUCCAGGGCUGGACAAUACAGCCGCAGACAUUGUCUCGAAGGAAGACCUUGCUGUGUGACAUUUCCAGUGAUGAUGUCAACCAUGUGGUUAGGCCGUCAUCUACUAGUUUGAUAGGUUGUCUGCGUUGGAUAUCGACCAAUACUUCUAAAUCGUCUUCCGGAGCUGGGGAGAUUUGCCAUGAUACAGCUGUAGAGUCUAACGGGAACUAGCAGAAAAUGAAAUCCAGAAGAGCCCUCUGGAAGUAUCUUCAGAAGGUCUGGGUACUUCCGUAGACAAUAAAGACCUGCCAGGUAGUGAAUUAAGUCCCAUGACAUCUCCAGGAUCAAAGUGACAGAGACGCAGAAACCAAAUCGCCUUGUAAAAGCAUUCUUGAUGAAAAUCGCAUAGAUUCUUCACCACUGAACAAUCCGAACUUCUUAGAGAGUUUAACUAUCGAACAGUCAGUUAAAGUACAAACACCUCGUCAAAGCAGUGCAUUAGAAGAUGAAGAAUUGAUGCAGUCAAGUUUUUCCAGGGGCUUAGAGUUCGUACCACAUGGUUAGCAGGCAUACACUCGAGUAGUCCAAAGCAAAAGUUGAAUGUGGAUCCUAUUACUUUUCCCUAGCUUUUGUUUGAUCCCUGAGACUAUUCCACCCAAUCAGGAAGACAUGCCACCACUGCGGCCCCUUCCUCCUAUGCAAUGGCGUAUUGGGAAGGCUCCAUAUUCUUUUACUCCCACCUUCAUGGGAGAAUCAGGCGAAGCCAGUAGUUCUGCUCCAUCAGCCACAUCACCCAUUGGUUCUAGCUUGAAUAUUCAAAAUGGGAGCUGUCUGUAUCUCUAGGAACUGACAAAUCAAAACAACUUCCUGGAGAGUUUGUGACCAAUGCAUCAGAAGAGCCGUUGCAAUCAGAGAACUCAGUCAGCAGAUCUUUCUGAAGAGAAUAAUCUUUUGGCUGACCAUGCUGCCUCAAAACCACGAGCUAAAAACGAAGAUUACGAGGACGACACAGAUGCGCAUGUUUCAGAAAGCUCAAGUUGUCCUGAAAACAAAGCAUAGUAGUUACACAACUAACCUAAAACUAUCUAAAUGGAAUCAUUUCAAAUACAUAAGUAAGUAUUCAUUGUCUCAUGCAAUGUUCAAAAAAUUGAUAGAUGGGAACUAUGCAGUUUAUAGAAAGCUAGCAACUAAGCUGAUUAUUUGGAACCAUAAUUUGAUUUAUUUUGUAUAUAUUUUACAUUCAUAUAAAAUAUUUUAGUUUCACAGUUUAGUUAUAAAACUAUUGUGUUGAAUUAUCAAAAUUAGAUAUAAAAACAUUAAAAAUUAGAUAAGUUUGUGAAUUUGUACUAAUAUGAUUAUUUAAUUUAAUUUUAGAAUAAUUUAAAUUAAUUUUAAAAAUUUAACUGAUUUGGAACAAUUUAGACCGAUUUUACUCGAACCAUUUUGGAUAGGCACCUCCUAGACCAUGGUCUCAUGUAUUGGAUAAAUAGAAUCGAACUGAACUAAACCAUCCACCAAACUGAACCAAUCUUGUUAUGUUAGAAAGUUUGUAUAAAACCGUAAACCAAAUGAAAACCAAACCGUAAACCGGAUGUGGUUGAGAUUGCUUAAACCCAUCAUGCUGACGAUCAUUCGGCGCAAGAAAAAUCACACAACCCUAAUCAAACCAAAAUAAGAGACUGUGAAUCGAAAUCUCCCUUCUUCCUCCUUUUUUUUUUAUAUAUAUAUUAAUUUACAAUAAAUGGUAAAACCAAUUCCUAUCACAACAGUUCUAAGAGGCGCGUCCGCCGCAGCAUCCAAAUUCGUCAAAUCAUCGAAACCGAUCCGACCCGUAUCCUCCAACAACACCAUGGCCAGUCCCGACAAAGAUUCCUCCGCCGCCACCACCUCCAGCGGCAGUAGCCGCCGCAGCGUCCCGCUUUCCGCCGUGGUAUCGGAUUGUGCGAAACGGUGGUUUGAAGACACUCUUGAAGAAGCAAAAGCUGGGAACAUCACUAUGCAAGUUGUAUUGGGUCAGAUGUAUAACUCUGGCUACGGAGUUCCCAAAGAUGCUCGAAAGGUUUCUCCUUUUUCCAUAUCUCAUCACUUUAGCUUUUUAGGGUUUAGUCAUUGAAGUGGAUUCAGUUUCUGAAAAGUUAGUGUCUUUACGCAGGGGAGGGUUUGGAUUACGAAAGCAUCAAAAGUUCGUUCGUCUGUGUGGAAAGUUAUGAAUAAACGACCAGGUUUGGUUUAUAUCACAACUUACCUUGCUGUUCUGUCGGAAAAUAAGGUUCAUUAUUUCUUUUUGUAUUUCACACUUUGAUUUGGUGUUUUUUUUUUUGUGCUUGAUUUGUCUUUUGUCAGGUUACAACGCAAGUGAUUCAGAUUCGCAUUCUGAGUAGUAUCAUAUAUCAUUUAGAAAGAGCUUGUUUGUGUUCUGUUUUGUCUCACAUAUUGGAUGUUCCGAGUUCAUACAAUAAACACUAUUUGUCUCCGCCCAAAUCAAUUUUGGUGUUUGCUAAACCAUUUUGUUACAUAUCUUGCUUUAUUAUUUCUCUCUUUUUCUUUGUGAAAAGCCUUUUGCUGAUUUUGUAGCAGUGAAAAAAGGGGUUUAGGGUAUUAGUUUUACCACUUUUCUCAUGUAAAUAGUAACGGAGUGGAGAUUAGUAAUUGAGAUUCUGUCGGAACAAAAGUGUCAUAAAGGCUCCAAGAAUAUAGCGAGAAAUAUAUAUGAAUAAUGUAAGAAUUUAAAAUUAUUAAAUUAGUACUCCAUAUAAAGAGUCUUCCGAAUUAAAAUUUUAGCGAUAAUAGUUUCACGGACUUGAGCUUAAUAGGAAAGAUUUAAUUGGAAGUCGUCUAUAUAGUAGUUGAUUCUAAGCUAAUUAAUAGUAUCGACUCAUGUCAUAUUAAAAGCAUGUCAACAAAACACAUCAGACCGACAUUUAUGGUUGGUAGUAUAGUAACUCUCUGUAAUCGCAUUAGCAUAAGCUAAAGUCCAUUAUUGAGUAUGCUAUAUGAUGCAAAUCUGAUGGACAAAAAAGUUUUUGUUUAUCAAAUGAAACCAACUCUGAGUAAACAAAUAAAGACUUUAAUUAAGAGGUUUUGCUAAUUAAUCACACUCUUAAUCUCUACUCAUGUGCUUGGAAAAGAAAGAGAUGACUUUUACUACUAUUACUACUACCUACUAAAGCAAUCCCAGUUUCACCAAAAUAAAAAAUUUAAAUGUUUAUGAAUUUAUUUAAACAUUAGAAACAGAACGUCACAACGCAAAGCCGACAACCUUUUCAGAGAUUAAAGCCGGCGAGCCGGCGAAUUCACAGAACAAACAUCUUGAAACCAACAAAUAAGACAAAAAAGCUAACACCAUAGUCCAUAGCAAACAAGAAAGAAAAGAUUCACCCAAAUGUUUUGGUAUCAUAUAUUUAUCCAAAUUAAUUGAACACGAAUAAAUCACACGUGGCAGUCAGAAAUGCAUCCUAAAGAAUAAAGAAGAUGAUGAGAGCCGCCUCGUUCAAAGUCAAGGCCACCAGGUCUGACCAGUCUCCCCCACCCUUCUUCUCCACCUUCUGAUAUUUUCAACGGUCAAACUUUUAUCACCUUCUCAGAAACUACAUUUUAUUUCAUUUCUUCCAUUAAAAAACAAAACUAAAAAUAAACUAACCAAUCAGACCAUGCAAUAUGUUUUUAUAUAUACAGACAUAAAACGAACAUAUACAUAAACAUUUCAAGAGCCCAUCACAUCUUCUUCGCCCCCCUUGUCCAAGCUCUCGUAAGAAACACUUUCUAUAUAUAUCUGAAGUUGGUCUUUCUUAAAAUAAAGAAAGCUUCAAUUUUUUUUAUGUAUGGCUGCUUCUUCCCUUCUUCAUAUAGACAAUAACACAACCAGACAAAACAUGAGUGGUUCUGCUAACUGGUCACGAAGAUCAUCAGCAUCUUUGGAAGAUCUUGAGAUCCCAAACUUUAGAUCUUUUGCUCCUUCUUCAGUCUCAAUCUCUCCUUCAACUUGUUUCAGUCCCUCUGUUUUCCUCGAUUCCCCUGCGUUUGUUGCCUCCUCUGCUAACGUAAGCCUCUCUCUCUUUUACUCGAUUUUUAUUUAGAGAUAAAAUUUGAAACUAUUGACUGACUAUAUGAGGUUGGCUCUUUUCUUGAAAAGAUCAUUACUCUAACAUCUCUUGUAUUCAAGAAAAUGAAUUUUGAUCGGAUGUGAUAAAGUCAAUGAGUCAACGGUUCCUUUUUAGAAAGAGAGUCUGUGUUUCAGAACCAUUCUUGAUAAUAUUCUUGGUUGUUUUUUUUGCAGGUUCUUGCUUCUCCAACCACAGGAGCUCUUAUUACAAACGAAAGCAAUCAGAAAAAUGUAACUAAGGAAGAGAAGAACAACAACAUUAACUACUUCGAUUUCUCAUUUCAGACACAAUCAUCAACACUUUCUGCACCAACAACAACAACAACAGCGACAAACAGUUCUAUCUUUCAAUCACAGGUAUGUUCCUUCCUCAACAGUUCUUCAAAUCACCUUUUUCCUUUCAAAUUUAUUUAUAUGUUUUUGUGUGUUCAGGAACAAGAAAGGAAGAACCAGUCAGAUCAAAAAUGGAGCCAAACUCUAAACAACAGCAACACUCAUCAAGCUGUAUCUUACAAUGUAAGGGAGCAAAGGAAAGGAGAGGACGGUUACAACUGGAGAAAGUACGGUCAGAAACAGGUGAAAGGGAGCGAGAAUCCUCGGAGUUAUUACAAGUGUACUUUCCCAAGCUGUCCGACAAAGAAGAAAGUCGAGAGAUCUUUGGAAGGACAGAUCACGGAGAUUGUCUAUAAGGGAAGCCAUAACCAUCCUAAACCUCAAUCCACCAGAAGAUCAUCUUCUUCUUCUUCAACAUUUCACUCGGCUGUUUUCAAUGCCAGCCUUGAUAAUAGUUUCAGUCACUCUGAUUCCCUUGCAAUCCAACAAGAUGAUAACACUACUUCUGGUUCUGUCGGAGACGAUGAGUUUGAACGAGGCUCAUCGGUUGUCAGCAGAGAAGAAGAAUGUGGGAGUGAACCUGAAGCAAAGAGAUGGUAAGAGAUCAUCAGCACCCACUAAACUCGCCUAAUCUUUGAACAAUCUUGAAUCAGAAAGUUUCUAACAUGUUUUUGUGUUAUCAGGAAAGGAGAAAGUGAAACAAACGGUGGGAAUGGUAAUGGAAGCAAGACAGUGAGAGAGCCAAGAAUUGUUGUGCAGACAACAAGUGAUAUCGACAUUCUUGACGACGGUUACAGAUGGAGAAAAUACGGCCAAAAAGUCGUUAAAGGAAACCCAAACCCAAGGUAAUAACAUAAAUAAAACAUAACAUAUGUGCUUGUCAACAUCAUAAACUAAGGCUCCAAGAAACUAACAUCUUUAUGUUUCUUAUCACAGAAGCUACUACAAGUGCACAACCAUCGGUUGUCCAGUGAGAAAACACGUUGAGAGAGCAUCACAAGAUCUGAGAGCAGUAAUCACAACCUACGAAGGGAAACAUAACCACGACGUACCUGCAGCUCGUGGAAGCGGUUACACCACAAACAGACCGGUGCAAGACCCAUCGUCAGCGCCAAUUAGACCAGCUGCUAUAGCUGGUCACUCAAACUACACUACUUCUUCACGAGCACCAUAUACGCUCCAGAUGCUUCAAAACAACAACAACAACACUAAUGCAGGGCCUUAUGGUUACGCUAUGAACAACAACAUUCAAACGCAACGAAACGACUUCGCUGGUGGAUUCUCUAGAGCAAAAGAAGAACCAAACGAUGAGUCAUCCUCGUUUUUUGAUUCGUUCUUGUCGUGAAGAUAAAGGGUUUCACUACUUACUAGUGAUCCUGAAGAUACUAAGACUAUAUAGUCUAUAGUCCAUAGAGAAAAUUAUUUCAUUUGUUUUUUCUUUUUCUUUACAUGGCUCAUGCUAGAGCGCUUUCACACGCCUGUAAUAUUAUACUAUCUUUAGUCUUCUUGUGUACCAUAGAACUAGAAAAAACGAAAUAAAACCAAUCAAUUUUUCACAUGUUUUCAUGAACUUUAUAAUCUGAUGAACGAGUUGAUUCCAUGAUCACAAGUUCAUUCCAUACCAGACUCCAUUGAAAUGAGUAGGAUUGUAUGUAUGAUAGCAUCUAAUAUAACCAAUACCAAGAAUAUUUUUUUUUUAGCUUCCAAAGUAUUAAAGAAGAACAUACACACAGUCACAGAGACGGUCUAUGCACACACAUAAAGAAUGACAUUUACACGUAUCACAGAGACCAACACCAUAUAAACAAAGGACUGAAGCAGAUGGUGAGGCUUAAGCAGCAGAUUCAGACAAAAGAAUGAGUAGUAGAGAGUUUGUAACCAGAGAAGAGAGCAGAGAGAGCUAAAGAGACGAAAGCCAAGACAGCCAUGGUGAUAGCCGAAGCAGCAGAGUCAGUGAAAAUGUUAUCUUGACCUUCUCUGAACCUAUUAGUCAACGGAAUCGCAGAGGACGCGGCUGAUAUGAGAAGAUACGCUACAAUCUACAACCCCACAAAGAAAUUCAGAUUUACAUCAAAAGAUCAAAACUUUAAACUUUAAACAUGAUAAUAAGCUUCUCUACGUUACCUGGUCGCCGGAGAAAUCGACAAAUAUUGAUGUCCGGCGAUCAAAGAAGUCUCUUUUCGAGAGAUGUACAAACGUUUGCCACGCAGUGUAUAACGUUGCGAGAAUCGCGAUGGCCACCACGUAUCUGAAACAAUCUCUAAUUUUUUUAAUACACGAAUUUUCGAAAAUUCAAAAGUAAUCAAUCGUAGAGUGGCACCUGUACUCUUCGUACUCGUCGAAGUUUCGACCGGGUCCGUGUUUGUUGGAGACCAUGAUUACGAAGGCGAGGAUGGAGAAGAGAAGAGCUAGUCCUCUCGUGAUCGGUGAUGCUUUCUUUAUUGAGUCCUCUCUUUUCCAUCUCUGAGUAAUCGCGGAAAACGUCGUCGGCGCAGCAGCCUCGACGUCGGAAGGUUCGACCGGUUUCUGGUUAUCGGGAUUCGUCGACAUGCCGGUUUGAUCUCGAAGCUGUGAUUGAUUGGAAUCGGUUAUGUGUGAAGAAUCGGGGAGGAUAAGGAACUCUUAAUUCGGGUUUUGGAACGUAGUUAAGUGAGGAAAACGCGUGAUGGCGGGAGUGAUUAAGGUAAAUGACUGUGAUUAAGUUGUUAACCAAUGCUUGGAAGCUACACGUGGCGUGCAUUUUGUUGAUUAACAGACAGCGAAGCCUGUGGCUCUUAUUGGCUGGACUGAUAUAAUUAUUUAGAACUUGCUUGUAAAGAGAUUAUCAUCUUUUUCUGCUAAAUUUCCUUUUUGAUUAUGGCUUUGAAUCUUUGAUCAAACUUGAAUUUCAGAGAAGAAUCUCUCUUUUGGUUAUUCGCAGAAUCAACUACAUAUAGGUUUUGUUACACUUUGCUAUUGACACAAAAACUAUUUUCUUACUAUCCAUUUUCUUACUAUACAUUUUAUUAAAUCAAAUUUGGUUGAUAGUAAAACUGUUUUACGGAAAUCUGACUUUGUCUGAUUUACAAGAAAAUAUAACACACAUUGUUCUCCAGCUUCCUUAAAUAGGAAAUAUGUACAUAUUUUCCAAUCCUAUAGGCUAUAGGUAUGAACUAUGUUAAACAUUCCAAAACAAUUAUGCAAAAUACUAAAAUAGACUAACUUUCAAAAGAGUGUUAAUCCGUCAAAUUUUAAAUCAAAUCCAGCAAAUCUCGAUUUGGAUUGAGGAAUAUGCAUCUUAUUUAAACACAACGCUCUCAAAAUAAUUUUUCCUACAACAAUUUUGAAGUCCAAACAAUAAAACUCAUUUUAUUCCUAUGAUUCCACCCUAGAUUACUAACUUUUGAUCAUCCAUAAGACAUCGAUUUUACAAUUUGGAAUUUAGGAUUCCAAAGAAGAACAAAAACGUCUACUUGGUUUGGAGAGUCAUUGGGUUCCUCAUCUUCUCUUUUAAAUUUCGAUUUUCUAAAAUUUUCUGCUUCAAGAAAAACUAACCAAAAAGUGUUAAGUGGACCAAAAUAUUUUCCAUUAAAUAUUUUUUUUUGUUUUUGCUUUUCAAAUAUACUAAAGUAUCCAAAAAAUGUGUCUAUUUAUGGUUUUAUAGGAAGAGAUUAGUUAGUUCCAAACUCAUAACAGAUGAUCUAGGUUUCCACUUAUCAUGUACAAUAAUAGUUCAACAGAAAACGAGUCAAGUUUAUAGUUUUAAGUGAUUAAAUGAUGAAUUAGCCUCUUGUUGUGGUUAGAUACUGAGAUCUUGACUAAGUCUACCACACAUGUAUGACAUGAUUGAUCAAGAUAAAGCUCAAAUAAGAAACUGAUCAACAUUACAAAAUAUGUUUUCUAACUUGUUUGUAGUCUUUCACUAUGUUGUGUUAGGACUUAGAUAUUAACAUUGACAAAUUUAAAAUCUUUAGAACUCACCAAACGGAAAAACUUUAUCAAAAAUUGCAUUGACCACCACCAUUAUGUAUUUCUUCAAGUGGGUUUUCAAUUGAAAAAAAAAAUAUUGAAUAUUUUCUCUGUAAAUGAUUUAGCACUCUUAUAAGAUAAUUUAAUGUUGCAAAGAAACUUUCAUAGCUUUAAAUAGUACUAUACAAAAAAACAUACCCAAAAGAUUUUUCAUAUUCCCAAAGACAAUCAACAAUGAUAAAUAUUACAAACUGCCGGCUUCUCCCUUGGCAAAAACAAGGGCUCAAGUUUCCAAAACACAUACACAAUCACACACAUACACCAAAAAGACUCCAUAUUCCAGACCAGAGUCUUUAUUCAAUUUCUCUCCAAUAUGAAUAAAGCAAAUAAUUUAGUCUUUUGUGUUUAAUUAUACUCCCAAAAGAACUAAAAAUUGAAUCCUGGUUUGUAGUCUCUUUUUUUCUUUAGUUUUUAUGUACAACGAGAUUACUAUCUCUGCUCCAAUGCAAACCGAACCGGUUCACCAUAAUGCUUCUCGAAUCCUCAAUGAAUUAAAAAAAUUAAAACUGAGUCUCUUUUUCAACUGUUAAACCUCACGAGUGGAAUAUGUCGAAAAAUCCGAAUAUAUUGGUUUUGUAUAAUAACCAUUUUUACGGUUUAUCAGGAACCCUAUUAACCGGUUGGUUAAUCAAACGACGUAGCUUUUGCCUAAGCUCAUCAGCCCAAACUAUUCCAACGUCUCUUUGCUUGUUCUUCAUCUCCACCAUCACUAACUCAUCCGUUAGCCUCCGAAUCUUAACUACGAUAUUAGCUACUCCUUGUGGCCCUUCCAGCUUCACCGCUCUCUCCUUCUUCUUCGCAAUCCUAAGAUUCAUCUUCUUCGCAACCUCCACAACCUUAACCAUAAUCUCCGCUGGAUUCUCAUCGGAGACAAACUGAUCACAAUGAUCCGGCGUCACAAAGUUUCCGAACAAACCUGCGAGGUUCGCCGUAGAUGAAGACGCAAUCAACUCGAAGGCGUUUAGUUUCUUCCCGCUUUCUUCAAGGUCGUAAUCGUCUGCUUGGAUACCUAUCAUCUCACUCGGAUCUACACCGUGGUUGAACCACUGAUCCUUUAGAAUCUCCUCAACGGUGAUCCGUUUCUCCGGAUCUGGCUCCAAGAGGCGGCUGAGGAGGUGUCGGAGACCGGAAGAAGUCCACUCCGGCAUUCUGUAUUGCGCCAUGCGGAUUUUCCGGUACAAUCCGGAGAUGUUGGGAUCUCUAAAGGGCAAGUAACCGGCGUUUAGAAGGAACAAAACGACGCCGCAUGACCAUAUAUCCGCCUUGGAUCCGUCGUAGCCUUUCUUUGUGAGAAGCUCCGGCGCCACGUACGCCGGAGUCCCACAGAGAGUGUGCAGCAUCCCAUCGGCUUUGAUCUGCUCCUUCAUCGCACUCAGACCGAAGUCCGAAACCUUGAGGUCUCUCUUCUCAUCGAGGAGGAGAUUCUCCGGUUUCAAAUCGCGGUGGAAGACGCCUCUCGCGUGGCAGUACCUCACGGCGGAGAUCAGCUGGCGGAAAUACUUCCGGCUGAGACUCUCCGUGAAACGGUUGCUCGAGACUCUGGAGAAGAGCUCGCCGCCCUGAGCUAGCUCCAUGACGAAGUAGAUCUUCGUCUUGGUGGCGAGGACUUCGGAGAGGAGGACGAUGUGAGGGUGGCGGAGGCGGCGCAUGACGGAGAUCUCUCGCUUGACGUGCGCCGUGAGACCGUCUUUUAAACGCUUCUUUUGGACGACUUUGAUCGCAACGCUUUGGCCCUUGUUGUGGAGAUCCUCCGCUUCGUAGACUUUGGCAAACGCGCCGCUGCCGAGAUGCUUCUUGAUGUCGUACUUGCCGAACAACGCUGAUUUGUUGUCAUCUCCGUCGACGUUGACGAUGAUGGAGUCGGAAGAGUCUUCUUCGGCCAUUUAACAGAUAAAAACGCAAAAUAGAAACGGUAAUACAAAUUGGAAAGACAUGCGCGCGGUUGUACUUAUUGAAACUCAACUUGCCACGUAAUCUAAUUUAAAAACGUUUUAAUAUUCUUUUGACUUUUUAUGGAUAAACAAAUAAACAACAUCAUUUAGGACAAUUUCAAUGCUAUAAUAGUAUGAUAUUACUAAUUCGAACUAAGUUACGGAUAUAAUAACUAAGUCUCCUACCUUAUCGAAAACACAAAAACACUUAAGCCCUGUUCGUUUGGUUGCCGCAGGUUUCGGCGUCAGCGGCAGCGGCAGCGUCAGCGGCGGCAGCAGCGUCAAUGAGGACAGUUGUUGUUCGUUUCGCAGACGCUGACGCUGCCGCAUAUCAUAUCGCGACCGCAGGUUUUAUCGGCGUUAGCCGCAGGACGCAGCGUUCGGACGCUGCCGCUGCCGCCGGUUCCUGCGUCAACGAAACGAACAAGAGUUGACGCAGAAUGUUGACGCUGCCGCUGCCGCCGGUACCUGCGGCAACCAAACGAACAGCCCUUAAAUGCAUAGUCAUUUUUAGGAUAAAGUUACGAAAUUAGAUUAUAUCAAAAUAUAAAUAUUAAAUUAUUUAAAUUCAAGGAACAGCUUUUCAUGAUUCUUCCCAAUAUGUGGUCCAUGUUCUUUUUCUUUUUGUUAUUGUGAGGUCAACCAAAAUAUUAUUAUAAUUCCAGGUGGGAUUGAAACUUGAAAGUCUUGAUAUUUAUAAUAUAUAUGCAGGAGCUGGUGAACUCGACAUAUAUGGAAAAACAUCAUAACAAAAGAACUAUAGCAAUUUUAAAUAAAUAAAAUCCAUUUAAAAAUGUUUGAAUAAUAUGAAAACAACAACAUGGAUCGUCGUUGCUGUCGUUGAAUGUUAAGCAAUAUGUAGACAGCCUGUAUGUAGAUGGUCUAAGCUUCACUAAUGGUUUACAUGGUAAUUAAGGUGGUUUGGAACUUUGGAGUAUCUAGCAAAAAGUCAGAUCGAAAUGAAGUAUGAAAAGAGUGAUGCUUGUUCUUCUUAAAGAACACCUUAAUCCUGAUGAAGAUGAUUUUUAAUACCUUUUGAUGAAGCUGACUAAUUCAUUGUUUUCUAGUAAAUUUACCCAUGUUUAAUUCUCUUUUAUAGAACCAGGUUGAUAAGAGGAGAUAAUUCAUCUUGAUCAUCUUCAUCAGAAUUAUCUCCUUUGAGUUACAAUUUUUUUUAUCUCCUCUGAAUUAAAGUUGAUCAGAGGAUUAUUGAAACUAUUAUCGAGCCAAGAUGUACUCAAGAUCAUUCAUUUUGAUCUCGAAAAUCCCGUAAAAUUUUGUAUGCUUUGUUCUUACAAGCCAAGCUAACUUACUAGUUUAUGGCUCUUGAAAUAUGCAAAAUACUGUUCCUUAAAACAUUAAUUUAUAAUUGCGCGGAGAAGCCGUUACUCCAUGAUUGAGAGCGAUAGCUCCUUUUAAAGACAAAGCUCAUGUCUUAAGAGAUGAGAGUCAUCAGAAGGUCAAUUACUUAUGGGAAGGACCGAUCACUCAAGUAGCCAGAGCACCCUUUUGGUUUGUGUAAGGAAUUCCUUUCUGUAAUAUGCAAAACUUUAAGAAACCCUUUUACCAAAAAAAAAAAAAAAAAAAAAAAAAAUUAAAAAAACCCAAACUAAAUGCACUAGCAUUUGCAUAUAAAGACGUUCAGGUCAGAUACGAUGAUAUAAAUAUAAAAUACAUGGUUUUUUUUUUGCUAACAAUAUACAGUCUGUGUAUUUAAAAUGGAGUUGUAAAAAUUAUGUGAAGUUAGGAUACAUUAUUACAUUAAAUCACCCCUUAAUGACUGAAGCGGUGCAUCUCUAGUUGCCUUCAAGGCUUGCAUUUUCUUAUGAAUUAAAAGUAAAAACAUUAAAAUAUGAGUGACCAAAACAUUAACAACUAAAUUUGAAUACUGUUUGAACUUCUACGUCAGCAUAAAAUAAUUACUUUUUGAUAGCUCGAAAAUAAAUUAAAAGAAGUACUCCCUCUGUUUUUAAAAGAUGCAUAUUCUAAACUUUUCACAUAUAUUAAGAAAACUCAUUAAAUAUGCAUUGUUUUUUGUGAAUAACAAUUUUCAACAAUUCUAACCCAAUAGAAAUUCAAUAAACACCAUUAAUUUUUUUGAAACUUACAAUUUUUCAUAAAAUCAUACAUUGAUACAGUAUAAAAUCAAACUAAUUAAUACCCUUUUAGUGUUGAAAAAGCCAAAUUUAAUCCUCAGAUAGACGUGAACUUGUUAAAAUAUUAUUUUUAAAAAGAACUAAUAAAAGAUACAAAGGUAAAAACUCGACAAAGUAAACAAACAAAUACAGACAAACUCUUGUUUUUAGAACUCAAUGAGAAAAUCUCUUGCGCAUUUAGUCAUUUAUAGUUUAUAAAUAUAAUAAUAGAUUUCGUAACGGUAUUUGCUAUCUAUUUACAGUUCAAUUUAAUAUAAACAAAUUGUCAAAAUAUUUAGUAAAUUUAUCUAACGUGAAAGUUAUACCUACAACUAGUAAAUUCUUUUUAGGAAGUUCUUUUCAGAGAUUUAAAAUAAAUUGUUGAAAAUGUUGCUCCUACAUUGUUGUUAAGUUUAAUAGCAGCUGUUAUCAUGAUUCAUAAGCGUAGAAACACGUAUAUAUGUUAUGAAACAACUAUAUUUUUUUUUUUGUAAACUAAAACAACUAUAUUUUUCUUUUUAUAAAAAUGAAGUUAUACUCAGAUAGAUGUAAUAGAUACCAUGUUUCUUAGAUUAAAAUAAACACACCUAAUUAAUAUAUUCACUGACCAUCGUCAUGAUGAUCUCUGUUGAUUAUAUAGUUGAGUACUUUUGGUAGCUGCUAACAUCAUUUGACAAAAUUAUUUUUGGACAAACUUAUACACUAGUGACAUUUUUGUUUAAUUCUUUCCCCUAGCAGUGUCUAUAACAUAUGAUCUUCGAACAAUUUCGGCUGAAACAUGCAACCUUCAGCCAUUUUUUUGUAACGCAAGAUGGACAGGUCACUUUGGUUGUACCAUCCACCGUCAGAUCACCGUCAUCCCGGAGUAUGAUCCCAGUCACUCAAUCAUCAUAGCAAUAGACAUGGCUGCUGGGUCAACUUUUCUAGUUGUGCCUCUAUGCAUGAUGGAAACAUCAAUUCUUUUGAGAGAAGAUAUACAUCACCAUCAUUUUUAUGUUAUUAUUAUUAUUGAUCUUUUCAUCGUUAUCGUCAUCACGAAUAAAGACACAUAUGCUUCAAAGAGAUCUUCAGCGCCGUACUCGUGUACGGUCUGGACGCAAUUCGUCGUAUGUACCAUCACAAUCGCACCACAGUCACCCUUAAUCGAGGAAGUUUCUUCUUUGUUAAACAUAUCAUCUUGUCUUAAUUUUCUUAUUAUAUAUACAAAAUUGAGGAAACAAAAUAUGAGAUAGUACGUUUUUAAAACAACGAUAUUUUUGAUUAAAAAAAACAACAACGAUAUUUGGAGUAUUUAUGAUAAAACAAAUCAUUAAAAACUAAAAAUCUUCCAAUGAGUUCAAUAAUCUUCAAGGAUUUGUAUUGUGGUUUUCUAAAAAUUUUAAUUACAAAAUUACAUUUAAUCAUAUUUUUAUAUGACAAUAAUAUUAUCCCAAGCCCAUCAGAAGAGAGGAACAAGGUAUUAAUUCAAGAACAAACACAACGAGAUAUGUUUUCCAUUGAUUGCACAUUGCUGAAAACAAAUAUUUGGCGUUUCUGACGUUGAUCAAUAUGACUCAAAUUGUUCAAACUAAAAAUGUCAAACAACUCUACAUUGACAUUAAAAAAACUUUUGUACUGUUUUUUCUUUUUGUUUUCUCGUCACCGUGUGUUGUGUUUACAUAUACAACCGUAGCUUGGCCUAAUACAUAAACACAAUUACCAGUACAUCAUCAAACAUUGAAAUGUACGCAUGUCUCCCACAAAGAAAAUAAUAUACAUGGAGAUUCUAAGCUGCCAUAUGAGAUCCAUUAAUCCAUAAAGAUUGGAAGAGAAAGAGUAGGAGUAAUGCAGUGAAAAUCUGAUGGGUUAAAGAGAAUGUUUUGGGAGUCGUCGCAAUAGAAGCUUGUGAUAAGAAAAGAGACAUGCACUUUAGCUCUACGGAGAAGGAAGUGUGAGAGCCAUAUGCAUCUGGGUGAUAUAUGAUUUCUCCUUUCCGACAUUUGAAUUCUCCUAAGCUCCACUCCUAGUUUCAUAUAUUUAUAUCACAAACAUUAUAUCAUAUUUUUUUUAUUUAGGCCAUUGACAUAUUUAUAUAGUGUUCAUACAUACCUCAAGCUGGCGACCAAAAGUGACAAGUAUAGUGUCAGGAUCUGCGUGGAAAGAAAGUGGGCCUUUCCUUGAGUUGACACGGAACUCGCAGUUCUUGGCUGGAAGGUGAAGGCUGAGUGUGUACUGAAGCAUUUCUUCGGUUGUCUCUUUGGGCAAAGGAGGGCUUUGCUCUGUUACGUUUUCAUGAUUGUACCUGUAAAUUCUGAGCACUGAUUCUCCUCUUUGUAUCCUCUUAUCAGUCUGUCUCCUUGAGUUUUCCACCAUUAUUUGCCCUAGUUUCCUUGCUACCCCAUCAAGUUUAUCAGCUACAUUCUCCAUUUCUUUGCUGCCAUAAGUCCAACAAAGAUCCUAAGAUUAAUUUUGUCUAUAUUCUCAAUCAUUUCCUCACUCAUAAAUCAUACUACAUUUUCAGGUAUCAUGUAAAGGCCAUCAACCCAUCCUCAGUCAUCAAUCACUAAACUACCGUGAAAUGGUUUCUAAGUUUGGUACUUACACGAACAACGGAACAAUGUGUCAUCAAAUGGCUACGGAUAAAACUAAUGUAGUAAUUAAGAACUACGCAAACUAUAUGAAUCACAUAGUGACAUCUUUACAUUAAUAUGUGCUAUGUAACAAUUUCAGUAAUUAGACAACCAUGAGUUGGUUUCUGGGUUUAGGUAAAAUGAUUUUGCUUAGCUUUUCGUAAUUAUCCUUUUUUAAACACUCGUAAUUAUCCUUAAGAAAUACCAAUGACCUCUAAUGCUUCAUCUAUCAGAGAUCAUUUCACAAUAACAUCUAUACACUCAACACUCGUAUUUCUUGAGGCCCAUUAACGGCCCAAUACCUGAAGCAGCGGUACCUUUCCGGUCCGAUAUACUCGCGCGCCCAUUCCAUCCUCUCUUUCCACGACCGAACCCAAGCAAUCUCAUCCCUGUUUCCGACAACACUCCGACGAAACCCUGUCUCUCUCCCCUCCAAAACUCCGAAAACCCGACCCGAUUCCCUCACAAGCGAUCGCAUCUCCUCGCUCGAUACCCCAUGGCAGCUCAGACGAAACGCCCCGAACUCCCUCGCCGAUUGAACCAACCGAUCCACCGAGCCUUCUCUCCUCGACGUUAACAUCCUGAAAUCAAUCUCCGCCGGGAUCAGAUGUCGUGAACAAGAAGAUUCUCCGCCGGAAUGAGAUUCAGGGAGCGUGAGGUCUGGGACCUGGAUCGAUCUCUCUAUGAUCUCGGUGAGAAUGUCGUUCGCGGCGGAACGUGAUCCUCUGGCUCUAGGGAUCGGUGAGGGAGGAGGUGGCGGUGGAGACAAUGAAGAUGUUUUCAUUUGGCUCCUGGUUCGCAUCAGAGCCAUUGGAGAGAAGAGAGAAGGAUCCGAGGUUUUUUGGCGGUUUCGAUUGUUAGAGAGAGACACAUUCGUCGUGUGUUUCUUUACAUUUUAAUUGGUUUGUUUUCAAUUUCUAGAGAAAGUGAUGGUCCAUGACUGUAUAUUUUUUAUUAUUAUGAUAUGUUUUAUGAAUGAUGAUCAUGAUCAUAUUCAUAUGGUUCGCUGACUUUGUUUCCGCGGUGAAGAUUCGAAUAUGUAAAGAUCUUGACUUUGAGGCCCUCAAAUUGAGGAUGAGAAAAUGUUGCCAGCUUGACUUGGGCCAAGAUGUGGGCCACUUUCUGUGUUUGGCCCAAAAUACUUUUGCAACUUCGAAAACAGAUGAUGAUUUCAAAGUUUGCGGAAUAAAGUUAUGUUUUUGUAUUAACGGGUUCGGGAUUCCAUCUACAAUUAGAAUUGUCCCAAGGAAGCCCUUGUUGCGCUUGAGUAUGCACAGUUGUCAGUUGACACAGCUCUUCCAAACCAAACUCAAGUCUCUCUUCGCGAGCUCUAACCGAUAGUGUCAGAAGAUACCUCACAAAAUAAAUGCACAUUUGUGGAAACGCUAUCACGAGUUUGCCCUUUUAUCAUCAACUUUAGCUUAGCUUGGUUGUAUUCAAUAAUACUUUGUAAUUAUUUAGUGUUUAAGCCUCAAUAUAUAAAAAUCUAUUUUUGUCUAACUUGAGUCUGAUUACAUUGUUAUAUUAUGAGGAUAUUAUUGCACACAUAAUUCUUCUUCUACUUUAAUCAUAUGUCAACCCUGUGUUCUUCGAAUGGAUUUCUGAAAAGCUAUACAACUCAAUUCCAACAUACUUAUACUAAUGUUAGAUCAUACGAAUAAGCCAGCGAAAACGAAAAAAAAAAUCUCAAGGCUCUUCCAUUUACGUGGUAGAAUAGAGCUUUUCCAAUGGAUGAUUCUUUUUAAUGAGAUGGACAUCCUCAUCAUUUCAUCUUAAUCUCAUUUUAAUAUUGUUAGAUAAGGUUGUUCUUAUAAGUAAAUAAUUGUUAAAUGAAAAUUAAAGUCAAACAAAUUUAUAGAUAACUUGUCACGACAAUUAAAACAUAUAUAUAAUUUGAUUUAAAAAAACACACAUAUAUAUAUAUAUAUAUAGUAUUUUCGGAAUAAUAAAAUGUUCACGUUUUAUUUGGCAGUUCAGUAUUAUAGAUUUUAAUAUCUGAAAUAAAUAUAUUGAUUAAUGUUUUGGGAUUAAAAAGUAUACAUGUUUCCGGCGAAACAAUAUAAGUUAUGUAUUUUAUUUUUAUUUUUUUGGACAAUUUUUUUUUUUUUGGACAAAACAAUAUAAGUUAUGUAUUUUUUGAUAAAUUUCUCAACUAAAAUGUCAAACUAAAUACACGAGGUGUCCUACAGAUAUAGGGACCUGUAGCUAGUUUAAAUAAAACGACCAACUACUCCAUUCCUCUUAAUCGCAUUCAGAUACAUAACAUAUACUCUCAUUUUCCUAUAUAAACACUCAAUCCGAUCCCCAACUCUCUUCAUAAAUUAUUAUUACACACACAUCUCAUUUUUGCAAACCAUCAAAAAAUUCUAAACAAAUUAAAGAAAGAUAAAUGGCUGGUCUGAUGAAGUUGGCAUGCUUCCUCGUAGCAUGCAUGAUUGUGGCGGGUCCAAUCACAGCGAACGCGGCUCUGACCUGUGCCAGCGUGGUCAGCAACAUGGCACGGUGCAUAAGCUACUUGGGAGGAAGUGAGACCAUAAGCGGUGCGUGCUGCAGCGGCAUUAGGAGUAUAAACGGUCUGUCCCGUACACCCUCGGACCGUCAGAUAGCUUGCGGUUGCCUUAAAAGAGUCGCUACCCUCCCUAAUAUAAACGCUGACCGUGCGGCUGGAUUACCCAAUGCAUGUGGAGUCAGUCUUCCUUACAAUAUCAGCAAAAGCGCCAACUGUACCCUGUAUGUCGACUUUAAUCUCUCUCGUUAUCUCUCGUUAUCUCUCUGAUAUAUAUAUGAAAAUUAAAGUGUACUUUUAAAACAAGAAGUAUAUAUAAAGAUUAUUAUAAUUAGCAUAUAGUAUAAGUUUUACUAAGGUUUCAUGUUAUACUAAGGUUUAGACCAAAAAGAAAAUGUCAUACUAAGCUUUUUAUAUUCAUGAUUUUUGAAAUCUUCCGUUUAGUUAGUUAAUUAAGCGGUAUGAGUCUGGUUUUAGAACUUGGGACAAAACCUAGCUAAACCUCAGUCUUGGGUUUGAUUAUUGUCGUAAACUAAGUUGUCACUUGUUUAGCUAGACGAUAUCAAACCAUAUUUUUAGGUCUCAGUUAAAAUUUCGAAGUUGAACUAAUCGUCAGUAUCAGUUAUGUGGAAGUGGAACCUAUAUGGAUUCCCAGACAUCCACAGUUAUAUUUUGAGUUUUUGAAUUGAUGCGGGAAGUAUAAAUAUAUAUAUAUUUAUCAAAAGUUUUUUUUCUGGAAAUCUGAUGUUUUUACAUUAACUGUGGUUGUGUUUAUUUGUAUGUGGCUGUAGCGUGGGCUGAGCGGUGGUCGGAUGAAGCUCAAGCGGACGUUUCGAACACUGUAUAAUGGAUGAAAGACUACUAAAUAAGAUGUUCAAAUGGUUGUUUUCUCUUUAAUCUUAAAUUUCCUGCAAUUUAUGUUGUGCCAUUCCCUACUUUGUAAAAAAAUACAAUAAAUUUUAAUUUAAAUGAUAAUAAUACAUAUGUUUUAUAAGUUUUUGCAAUUGUGAGUCAAAGAAAUGUUGUCGCUUUCUAAAAGAAUGCAUAUUGUCAUCUUUAUUAUUCCAAACAGAAAAAGGAUGAUGUUACUUUUUGUUAGUUGAGAAAAGGAAAACCCGAAACAAACUGUAUUAACGACUCCGGCCCCUGUUGAAAAAGACGACUCCGGCCCAAUAGGACCCCAGUAAGCCCAUUUUUGCCGUAGGGAGUAAUUUAUACCAGAAGCGUGAAUCUAGUAACAUCCAUGGACUCAGCUACAAGAUCCAAACCGUUGAUUCCCUCCAACGUUUUAACUGAAGCCGUUGAUCGCUUCCGUAUGAGCUAUAUAAAGAAACACAAAACACCACUGCACACCCAGUUAUCUCUCUCUAUCUUCUCCGCGCGACCAGAACGAAGUUCCGCCGAACAAAUCUCGCAACCCUAUUUUUGUCCUUAUCCCAUUCUUCUUUCAAUCGCCACUCUCCGCAAAGAAAGUUGGGCGCUUUGCUCUCUGGAGCUAAGUGACGAUGGAAAGUGAAUUGAUUGCAUUGUUCGAGACGGCGAAGAAGGCGGCAGAUGCGGCGGCUGUCGACGGUGUUACCUCCUCAAGCCCGGAGGUUUCUCAAUCUCUCGAUGCAUUAGAGAAACUCAAGGCGUUUCCCGUCACGUACAACACGCUCGUCGCAACCCAGGUGCGUCUGUCUCUUUAACCCUAAUUAGGUUUGAUUGAUUUUGAAUGAAUUUAGCAAAACGGGUUUUAGGGUUCGUGUAGCAUUGAAAAGAUGAUAACUUUAAUUGUUGUUGAUUUCUAUAUCUCCUUGCAUUGGAUUAGAGAAAGUUAUAUCCUUUUUUGUUUGUUUGAUUCUAGGUAGGGAAGAAGCUGAGGUCUCUUGCGAAACAUCCUGUUGAGGAAAUCAAAAGCGUGGCUACUGAUCUGCUUGAGACAUGGAAGAGAGUUGUCAUUGAAGAGACGACAUCCAAAGCUAAGAAGACCGAAAGCACAAACGGUUGCAAAGAGGUUAAGUUGGAGAGGAAGGAUGUGAACCCCGCGCCUGUGAAAGUCCAGAAGCUUCAGAGGGGUGGUUCAGCUAAGAGUAUCAAGGUAGAGAGAAAGGAACCAGACAGCAAAGUGAAGGUAGAGAGAAAGGAACCAGACAGCAAAGUGAAGGUUGAGAGAAAAGAACCAGACAACAAAGUUAAGAUGGAUCAUCGUGGUCAGACUACUGUCAAGGAUGAAAAAGUCUCAAAAGAAACGCUGUCAAGUGUGAAGCCUUCAGACAAGGCACCUAAUGGUGCUCCAAAGCUAACUUCAAUGGUCAAAUGCAACGAUCCUGUGCGUGACAAGAUCCGUGAGCUGCUUGUGGACGCCAUGUCCAAGGUUCAUGGAGAAUCUGAUGAGUACGACAGAGCGAGAGUAGUUGGAUGUGAUCCAAUCCGCGUUGCUGUGUCUGUGGAGUCUCAUAUGUUUGAGAAACUGGGCCGGUCAACGGGAGCGCAGAAGGUCAAGUACAGAUCUAUAAUGUUCAACCUGAGGGACAGUAACAACCCGGACCUGAGAAGGAGAGUUCUCACAGGGGAGGUGUCACCAGAGAAACUCAUCACACUGUCGGGUGAAGAGAUGGCGAGCGACAAGAGGAAACAAGAGACCAACCAGAUCAAAGAGAAGUUCUUGUUCGAUUGUGAGCGUGGCCAGGCACCAAAAGCAAGUACUGACCAGUUCAAGUGUGGGCGUUGUGGUCAGCGCAAAUGCACGUAUUAUCAGAUGCAGACUAGGAGUGCUGAUGAGCCGAUGACGACUUAUGUUACAUGUGUUAACUGUGACAAUCACUGGAAGUUCUGUUGAGGUGAGAAUGUAUGUGCGUGUCAAGACAUAGAUGCUCUGAGAUUGAUUUAUCAAGAGCUUUCAUGUCUAUUUGCCGGCAUUAUGAGAAUGUUCUGGCUCUCAUGUUUGUUUAGAGAUUAGUAAGUAGGAGAGUUUACUAAUUUAGCUGUUUGUUAGCUCUUAUCUCUUUUGCUUCAUUUAUUCCAAAUUGUCAAACUCAUCAACUUUGCAAAUUUUAUCUCAGUUUUGAAAUUUAUUAUCGGUUAGUUAGACUUGUGUGUGUUUUCUAUCAUAUUGAACGGUUGAGCCUUCACAGCCUUUAAUGUAUGUGUUAUUGGAUCGAAAAGUUGCAUCAACUAUGAUCCAAUUCAACUCCAGAUGAAAGGACUGAUGAAAACAAGCUAAAGAUCUCAUUGCAUUAGACCAUUGUUGCCAUUAUUAUGAACUCAUAUUAUAUUUGAACAAGACGUUUUUUCUUUACAUUCUCUCUAUCAGACCAAACAAUGAAUUCAUACUUCUAGCUAAACAUGUCCCACUCCACAUCAUCAUCAUCAUCUAAAUCUCUCUUCCUUCGACUUGGUCUACUGCUUCUCCUUCGCCGUCUUCUAUCAGAUGAACUUUCAAGCUCCUCAACAUCAGAGUAUUCACUACCGAACUGAGCAUCCCAGAGUCCCUGUUGUCAAAAGUCUUUCUUCAAUCAUCCCAUUUAAGAGAACUUCUGUACAUGGAAAAACCCAAACCACUCCAGUACAAGACAAGUACCUUUGUCAACCUCUGUUUCCUAAAAGCUGCAGAUUCGUCAACAACAACUAUGUCUUCUAAGACCUCGAUUAUGUCCUCAACAUCUAAUCUGUAUGUACUAACCUGCAUCAUCACAUAUUAAUCACAGAGAUUGUGCUAUUCCUAGAUUAGAUGCUUGUGCUUUGUAUCUCAUAUCAAGAAAAGGGAAUGAGUUACCCACCAAGCUUGAUGGUAUGAUGGUAACUCCAAACGAAUCAAGCUCAAGCGAUUCAACUACUCCGGAGUUUAUGUUGAAUGAGUAACCUCGAACCUGAAAAACAAACCGUGUGUUUCCAACUAAUAAACAAGAUAAUGGCAAAGAAAGAAAGAUAGAUCACUGAAGAAGAUAUAGCAAGAUUAUAAACACCUUUCCAAUGUUUCGCCCUCCCGGUGUCACCACUCUGUAACCUACCUAAACAAAAGGUGAGAAUUCAAUGUAAAGACUUGCUUUAAAGGUGGAUGAUUCACAAGACAAGGGGGAGAUGAAUCUAUACCAGUAUUUCAAGGCCAACCAUUUUGAACUCAGUGUCCAGGACUGCAUCAUCUUUCACAAGAACAACAUCACCGACCUACAGAGAUGUUAAUAAUAUAACUGAGCUGUAACAUACACUUUCAGAAGAAGAAAAGCAGUCGAAACCAGAAGUAUGAAGUAGUACUCGAGUGAUGUCUGUGAGCAUGAAUCUCUCAGAUUCUCCAGAUAGCAAGGUGGGCUUAACAUCCACCACCAAAACCAACCACUGAAAAUUUGACAAACAGAAGAAGCUCUCAUUACAAGUAAAAAGAGACAGACUUUGAUUCAAAAAUGUGGACUUUGAUUAAACAAAGAACUUACAGAAGUAGUGUCAACCCAGAGCUGAGAGAUGAAUCCUAAACUCAGAGCAGACUGUAUACUAAUAACUUGCUUAGCUACAAGGUUCGAUCUCGUCAACGUCUGUUUGAAUCCUUUCGAGCCUAUGUUGAUCAGAUCGCUCUCACUCACUUGCUGAAUCAAAUCACUGUCUCGAGGAGAUUCUGCACUAUCGUUUUCCAGGAAACCCAAAUGAGAAGAAUGAACUUCUUCUUCUUCUUCUUCACUGGGUAGUGAUGAACUCACGCAAGUUACGAACUUUCCGCUUGGUUUCUCAUUAAACUUGAAUUUCCGGAGAAAGGCAGUCUCUUUGGCACUAAAACAACAUGCUUGUGACGAGGAAGGAAUCGUGAUUUCAUGGAUUGAGAGGUGAUUCCUCCUCCUCCUCCCUGAGCUAGUGAUGAUCGAGUGCUGAAUCCGUCUAAGACUGUAAGAAGUGGGUCUCACCAGUCGAGCAUCGAUGGCGGGAAGAGAGAGGAGAAAGGAAGCUGAGCAGUUGUACAUAGCCGGAGAAGAACGCUUACAACUCAAAGUGAUCUUUAGGGAAAGGAAGAUUGGUUCAAUUGCUGUUUACCCCUUGGGUUCUUUAACCAAAGACCGAACCAAACCGAUAUCACAAAAUAUCAAAAUGUUCAAAUUUUGGUAAAUUUUAAAAACCGAAAUCAAACAAAACUUGAACCAUUUCAUCGUUUGGUUGUCAAAAACCUUUUGCCCAAGUUUUAUUGUAGGCUAGAGGUUUUCUACAAAGAUCAUUAAUAUGUAGAUACAUAUUUUAUUUCACUAUAAAACAUUUGGCUUAUCUUGUAACCUUAUGUUUUUAAUUAAAUUUUAAUAGAAAACUAAACUGGAACUGAAUAUAUUUUAAAAAUAUUAAUUAUUUUAAUUUGAAAAUAAUAUAUAUUUAAGGAUUAUUAUUAUCAAUUUAAAAUAUCAAAAUAUUUAAUAGUUUACUUAAUAUUUUAAUCUAAACAACAUUUUUAUCUAAAAAUUUAAAUUACUUAAUAUAUUUAUUUAAACUAUCUAAAAUUAUCUAAAAAUCAGAAUUAAACAAAAAAUUGAUUGAAUUAACAAAAAUUAUUUACGCAACAAUUUUUAAUCUUGUUAUUUAAACUGAACCAAAAAUAAAAAUAACAAGUUCAUAAUGUAAGAAAUUAAUCUAUUCUAUUAAAACAGAAGUAUGACUCAUUGAUAAAAAUAGAGUCCAACAAUUAUUUCAACAAUAUAUACUUUUUUAUAUGAUAACUGCAAUGCUUUUUUAAUUUUUGAAAGUAACCACUACCUGAUAUUCUUUUUCCAAAGUAACCACCACUCCUUAAUAGUUUGAGCAUAACGUUUACAUAAAUAUUUUGUAACCUCCGUUGUGAUUCCAAAGUUCUCAGAUCCACUUCUCUAAUAUACAUAUUAUAGUCAACGGUACAUAAUAUCUGUGUGUAGAAGAAAUAAAUGUAAUAUUUGGUCAACAAAUAUAUAUUUAAUAAUUAAUGCUAAGUAAUCUUAUUCUUCACUGACCGAUCCAAACAAUAUGAUUGACAACGAGUUUCUUAUCAUCUAAUAUCUUUACCCAUGUAAAAAAAUAAGAAUAGAUUAAAACACAAGCAAAAUACAAAAUUACAAAUUAUAUAAAAUAAAUUUGAUUUGUUUCUGUUGAAAAAUAUUGGUUUGUUCCGAAAAUAAAAAUAUUAAAACUGUUUUUUUACUUUUUGACAGUUUUACACAAGCCUAAUAAUAAUGGUAUAUAUAAUUUAGAGAAAUUCCCUAGAAUAACAUUUUUCAAGUUUUUGUCAUAAAAAUAGCUCUACAUAAAGAAAAUGAUCAAAAUAAGUUUUAUUAAAAGGUAAAAAUACAUUUUUACCCUAGGGUUAACUAAUCUAGACUUAGGAUUUAGAGUUAAGGGGUGAGGUUUUGAGAAUAGGGUCUCAAAUUAAAAAAAAUAAAAGAAAAUAAACAAAUAUUAAAAAAUUUGAAAUAAAAAGGCUAUUUUGGUCAUUUUUAGAACUAUUUUUGUGACAAAAACUUAAAAAUGGCUAUUUGAGAGAAUUGCCAUAUAAUUUAUAUUAGUUGACAAAAAAUAUAAUCUUAUAUAUUAAAAUAUUUGAAGCGAAUUUUUAUAUAUUACUCUAUUCAGUUCCAGCCAGUUCCAGCCAUGUAUGAUUCAAAUCUGUUUACAUCGAUAUAAAAGCAUUUAAUAAAAAAAAACGUUAUCAACAAAGUAUAUAAAAGCAUCAAUACUAUUAAAAGGGAAGAAGUCUUAACAAAUCUACCUAUCAAAGUUGUUUGGACCCUUUUAUUUAACUCAUCAUUUUUUAGUCUUACCUUAAAUUUAAACUAACAAUAUGUUACCAUAUAUUUCUCUAACAAUAAUUUAUUCAAUUCCUUUAUUUAUUCAAAUACCACUCCUAAAUCUUAAUCAUUACUAUUACUAUAUUUACCAUUUUGACUUUUAAUCGUAAAAGCAUUGAAACUAAAGUUUUAUAUUAUCAUUUUUAUCAUAUAAUAUAUAAUUUAAAGCAACAGAAGUUACACGACAUAUAUGUGUAGAUUCUAACUUCAUCUUUCCUUUAUAAUAAGUAAUCAUAUCAUAUAUAAAUUUUCCCAUUAAAAUCUCAUAUUAUAUACUAAACUUUCAACCGUCUAUAGUUUGAUAGAUAUUUUUAUAUUUAAAAAUGAGUUUUCUAAAAAUAUUUCAUCAACCAUGUUUUUGUACAAUAACGUUAAAAAUCUAUAUCAACCUCUUGGAUCCGAUACGGACGUAAUGGGUCCACAUCUGUUCUGGUAUUUAGGAUCCUAAAAAGAUUUGAAAUAUCUAAAAAAUCUGAAAAAUAUCUGAAACACGAAAAGUACUUGAAACUCCAAACAAAUACCCAAAAAAUUCAAAUACCUAAAAAUUCAAAAUCUUAUUCAAAAUCUAACACUGAAUUAAAAAUAUCCAAAAUUUUAUCCAAAUACCUAAUUUUUUUUUAAUUUAAAAAUUUACCUGAAAUCAAAAACUAUAAUCGUAAACCAAAAACCUAAAAAAAAUAUCCAUAAUGUCGGAAACAUAUUCGAAAUAUCCAAAUAUACCUAAUAAACACAACAUAUUUAUGAUCGGGUCUAGGGUAGGACCCGGACUCAAACAAAGACAUGCGGGUCCAAAAAAACCCCAAUAGAUUAUCUUCUCUGGACCUGAACUAAACCUAUAUUUCCGGGUCGGUUCGGUUUAUUUUUUGAUCCAGAUAUAAUUUUCAUGCCUAAAAAAACUUACGUGAAAAUGUACAUAUAAAAAAUUAAAUAAACUAAUUCAUAGAUUAUAUAACUGUUAAAAAUUAUAUUUUUCGAUAAAAUAAAACUUCGUAUUAUAAUAUAAUUAAAAAAAUCCGCGCUUUCCAAGCGCGGGUCAAAAUCUAGUUCCAACUUAAAGUCUGUAAUCAUAUUUAACAUAUGUUUAUAGCAACAAUACAACUGAACACCAAUUUUUCCAAAAAUCAUUAUCAUAGUAAAUUAACAUAACGUACAUCUCAGCCUAAGAAAUUGUGAUUUAUUAAACAAGACAUUAAUUUAUUUAAAUUUUAAAUGUUUUACACAUACAUUAAGUUUAUCAAUUAACAAAGUACAUGAUAUUAAAAUAGGGUUUAACGGAUUUAGGUGGACUUUUAAUAGAAAUAAAUAUUCAUAUAAACUCAUUUAGUUUAACGGGUUUUAAAUAGUUUAUUCGAUUAAAAAAUAUUUAUUAAAUGUGAUUUUACUUAAAGUUAGUUAAGACCAUAUUGACAUAUUUACAUAUAUCUCUAUAUAUUUAAUAGAUUAUAUUAAAAUUUAUUUUUACACAUUUUUUAAAAAUGUGUUCGGUCUUCAGUGCGAUUUUGAUUUGAUAUUGGUUUUCAGAUAUAACAUUUUGAGAAUUGUUCGAGUAUAUAGGCUAUGUUCAAUAGAAUAUAAAAUUUGAUUUUCAAGUCGAUUCUGAGUCAGAUUUUUUGAAUACGAAUAUUCUUGACUAAUUAUGUUAGGUAACUAAUAAAAAAAUAUAAUAUGUUGCAAUUUUUUAAGAAUAAAGUUUAAAAAUAAUUUAUGAAAUGCAUAUGGCACGAGUGUAUAGUUAUGCAACUUGACAUAUAUAAUAUAGUUAUCAAAAAUAUAUUAAAUAAAAUUAAUAUUACACAAAUAUAAAUUUUAAAUUUCUCAAAAAAAAAUAAAACAAAGGGCGGGUCAAAAUCUAGUACUCUUUAUUAAUUUAGAAAUGGUUCGCUCCGAGUAAAAAAGAACAAAGAAGCUCUUUUUUUCUUCUCAUUUCCGUUUUGUCUUUUUCCUCAUCCGAAAAUCACAAAAAAAUAUUCUUGACUAAUUAUGUUAGGUAACUAAUAAAAAAAUAUAAUAUGUUGCAAUUUUUAAGAAUAAAGUUUAAAAAUAAUUUAUGAAAUGCAUAUGACACGAGUGUAUAGUUAUGCAACUUGAUAUAUAUAAUAUAGUUAUCAAAAAUAUAUUAAAUAAAAUUAAUAUUACACAAAUAUAAAUUUUAAAUUUCUCAAAAAAAAAUAAAACAAAGGGCGGGUCAAAAUCUAGUACUCUUUAUUAAUUUAGAAAUGGUUCGCUCCGAGUAAAAAAGAACAAAGAAGCUCUUUUUUUUUAUAGAUUCUUGAUAUGAUUUUUUUUGAUUCAAUCCUUUAUUUUUAACUGAUUACGUUUUUCUUUGGGAUCAGGUAUGGAUGAUGAGAAGAAGAAGAAGAGAAACAAGAAGAAGAAGAACAAGCAGAACAAUAGCAAACGUGCAGACGGUGACGCUAUACCUACCGAUGAUGGGAAUCAUAACGGAGACGCUGACAUUGCUCUAAUCAACCAAGUCCCUGAUUCCAUUGAGUUGGAACCAUCUUCUCAACAGAUCAUCAUCAAUGUAAGUUGGCAAUGUCAUCUAGAUCCAAGGAACAUAAGAUUGAUUCGAUUGAUUGAUUGAUUAAUCUCUUAGUGUAUUUGUUUGUGACACAUUACAUGAUUGAUUGGUUGCAAUGUUAUCAAUGUGUCUCUACUUGUAAAUCCAUUUCUGCGGUUUGUGUAGACAAACAAAAACUAUGGUCUGAUACUUUAAAAUCUUAUUAUUAUUCAAAGCAGGCAGAUGAACCUGGUGUUGUUGACUACACGUCUCCAAAUAGCGAGGUGAGAUUAUGUCCUCUUGUAUGAACAAAGUUUCGUUAUUUGAUAUAGUUUUUGUUAGCACUAGUAUUCUGCAUUGUUUUUUUUUUUGUUACGUGUCUAUCUUUUGGCUUGAAUCCCUGAAUUAGUUUUGUAAUGCUCUUGUAGGCGGUUCUGGAAGAAACAAUCAAACAGUUACGUGAUGAGAUUGGGUCCCACCUUCAGAAAGAGGUGAUUUAUUUUUCUCUUGUUAAGCCCUUUUUUGUUGGUUUUAUCAAAGAAUCCUAUCCAUUAUCUAGUUAUGUUACUUUCCUCAGUGAAAUAGUGAUGAUAUAUGAAUUGCCAUGUCUUCAUAGGCUGUUUUUGAAGAAACUGUUAGACGCUUGGAAACUGAGAAUGAAUCUCACAUACAGAAAGAGGUUAGUUAAGAUUACAGUAAACCCUUUGUCAUUACUUCUAUGUUUUCCUACUUCAUCUGCAAGCGAAAGCAGAAGCUAACAUGGUGUUUCACAGGCACUGUUGGAAGAAAGGCUUGAGCAUUUAAGAACAGAAAGUGAAGCUCAUAUACAGAAGCAGGUUAGCUAAGAAUACAGUAUACAGCCUUUGUCAUUACUUUGCUGUUUGCCUGCUUCAUCUUAAAACCGAAAGUUGAAACCAACAUGGUGUUUCACAGGCACUGUUAGAAGAAAGGCUUGAGCAUCUGAGAACAGAAAAUGAACCUCACAUAGAGAAAGAGGUUAGUUAAAGAAUACAGUAAAGCCUUUGUCAUUACUUUGAUGUUUUCCUGCUCCAUCUUCAAGCUGAAAGGUGAAACUCAAGUGUUGUUUCACAGGCACUGUUAGAAAAAACGGUUGCGGAUUUGAGAACGCAAAAUGAAGCUCACAUAGAGAAAGAGGUUAGUUAAGAAUACAAUAAAGCCUUUAUCAUUAUUACUUUGCUGUUUUCCACCUGCAUCUUCAAGCUAAAAAGUGAAACUAAUGUGGUGAUUAACAGGGACUUUUAGAAGAGAGGCUUGAGCAUUUGAAAACAGAAAAUGAAGCUCACAUAGAGAAAGAGGUUAGUUAAGAAUACAAUAAAGCCUUUAUCAUUACUUUGCUGUUUUCCACCUUCAUCUUCAAGCUGAAAAGUGAAACUAAUGUGGUGAUUAACAGGGACUGUUAGAAGAGAGGCUUGAGCAUUUGAAAACAGAAAAUGAAGCUCACAUAGAGAAAGAGGUUAGUUAAGAAUACAAUAAAGCCUUUAUCAUUACUUUGCUGUUUUCCACCUUCAUCUUCAAGCUGAAAAGUGAAACUAAUGUGGUGAUUAACAGGGACUGUUAGAAGAGAGGCUUGAGCAUUUGAAAACAGAAAAUGAAGCUCACAUUCAAAGUGAGGUUAGCAUUUACCCGUCUUCACAUCUUUGCUAUUUUCCUUCGUUAUCUGCAAGCUGAAGAUUUUUUACAGGCACUGUUAGAAGAAAGGCUCUUGCAUUUGAGAACAGAGAAUGAAGCUUACAUACAAAAAGAGGUUAGUGAAUAAAUGGCAUAAAUCCAUAUCCACAGAUUUGCUAUUUUGCUGCGUUAUCUGCAAGCUUAAGGUCAAAAUGACGUGGUGUUUGACAGGCACAGUUAGAAGAAAGGCUCUUGCAUUUGAGAACUGAGAAUGAAACUCUCAAACAGAACGAGGUCAGUGAAGAAAAUAGCGUGCAGCUGUAUGCAUAUCUUUGUUAUUUUCCUGCAAGCCGAAGGUCAAAGUAACAUUGUGUUUAACUGUUUAUGCAGGAAAAGUUGGAGGAAAGACUUGUUCAGUAUAAAACAAAGAACGACGUGCUUGUUCAUGAAAUGGUGAGACAUCUUCAACCCUGGGAACGUUCCUUUAGUACCUAUUCAUAUAGAGCAACAUGUUAUGUGUAGUUCUGACACUUUGUUAAAAAUUGGCAGUCUAGUACAGAAGUCAAAAUGAGAGAAUUGCUUGACGAAAGAUCUACCUUCUCUCAGAAAGAGGUAUGUCUACAGUUGCAUCUUCUUCAGUUAAAAUACAUUCUCUUGUCGUAUAAAGGUAAUCCUAAUUUCAUGAUGUCAAUCAGGCAAGUCUAGAGAAAAAACUUCAGCAACUUCAACAUGAUGAAGAAUCUUCGACUGCAGCUGCGGAGGUAACUCUAUCUUACCUUGAAAGCACAUUUUUAAGCAAAGGGUCUUAUGAGUGGUAUACUCAUCAUAUACGUUCAAUCCUGCAGAAGUCAUCCAUAGAAAUGAUUUCGAGCCUGAACAAUGAAAUUGGAACACUGCGAGCACAGGUAUGUGUUUCACCUUUUAUUUUGAACAUUUGAAGUGGUUUUCUAUUUCCAUGAGUGGCUCAUUGAAUUGAGUCUGAAAGUGUUACUGUAGCAUCCUUAGUGAAUGUUUAGUUCUAUAACUCAUGUAGAACAGGAAGCUCUACUAAGCAUAAUACUGCGUAGGUUUAGUCUGAUAUCUAAUCUUAAAACAAAGUUUGGCAGGUAAUGAAGUUGGAAGAAUCUAGGAGUAAUCUUCAGGAGCAGAACAAUAGUCUUGUGGAAACUGUGUCCAGUCUUCAAGUCCAGCGUGAAAACCAUGACAAUAACGUGAAGGUUAGGCUUUGAUGUGAGACUAUAAUCCCUUUUCAAUGAAGUCCUUAGAAACAAAUCAUGAAAAGGUUUGUGAUGGUUGAUCCAGGGUGCUUCUGAGGACGAACUAAACUCACAGAUUGAAGCAGCUUGUACUCUAGUUGAAAAGCUUAUCACUGAAAAUGCUGAACUUGUUGAGAAGGUGAGGUGUACUGAUAUGGAUUCUACUGAGUUACCUACUUAACUUGUUGGCUGAUUGAAAAUCUCAGUGGUUAUUGUAUUACUACAUUGUCAGGUGAACGAGUUGUGCAUUCAGCUAAACCAAUCGCAGCGUGCUUUUGCUUCACCACCUGAGAGCCUAGCAAUUGAAGUACAGAAGUCUGAUGCCUUAGAGGAAAUACCCAUUCACGACGAGAUGAUUAGAAUUGACGACUCUGGAGACAUUGAAACUGCACUGUUGGAGAGAAACUUAUCAGAAGAAACAGUGCCGGUUUCUGUGAACCCGAAUGGGGAAAUAGAUGUGGAAUCACAGGUUGCAGUAGCUGGAGAAACAGAAGAAGUAAGUGGUGGUGUGCCUCUGGUGGACGCUCCACUGAUCGGUGCGCCGUUCAGGCUCGUCUCGUUUGUAGCAAGAUACGUGAGUGGUGCAGAUUUGGCGGAAAAGAAACAGUUUUUGUAAAACACAUUUUGGAGGCAGAAAAGAUGCAUCAAGUUCUGUAUCUCUCUUCUCUCUUUCUCAUACUAUACACAUGCACUCAGUGAGGAUCGUUGGUUAGCUUAUUGCACAACACUUAACAGGACACAAAGGUUUAUUAUGAUUUUGUUGGUAGGAUAAUGAUGGUGAUGAUGAACUGAAUACAUCAAGUUGCUCGAUGUCGUUUUGUUUUUCUUUCUCAGAAUUCAAAGGAAACCAUGAGAAAAGAGUUUCAAACAAAAGUUCUUCAGCCAUCUGAGCUAAGAUGUAUCAUGGAAACAGCAAACUCAAUGAUCGUUAACCAUGUGUGCAUUAGACACAUUAUAUUACACCAGAAAAUCAUUAAAAAAAACACACAGAUUUAUAACCGUGUUCUGAGAUUACAAUCUACUCAAGAAAUAAUGUCAAAUACAGAAUUAUAAGAAAGAUAUGGUAGUUUUGGAUCUAGAACACACAAGCACAAGUUGCAAUACUGCAGCAGCUGCAAUGGCCUCCUCUGUUACAGACGGGUCAUAUAUAUGAGACUGGUCUGGCUUCAACCUCUUUGCUCUCUACCUUGGUUGACAUCUUAUGUCUAGCCUACCCUUUUCGCUCCUUGUGAGCUUGUUCCUCCUCCACCCAGGAUUUUACUUUGUUUUUGAGAGCUUGCCGACAACUGGCCUCCGGUAGGGUCUUCAAAAAGGCUUGUAAGAAACAAGGUUGAACUUUCACCAGGAACCAGCCAAUCCGGUUCAGUUUUGGAUAAGAGAAGACCAUGUGUAUUAUACAAGCUUUCGAAAGCUACAAUCGUGCCUUUAACGAUGUUUCUGGAGAGGACAAUAAUAUUUGAGUAAGGAUAUGACAGUGCCCAAAAUGAUAUGUCCACUAGUAUCGAAGAUAUUCUCGCAUAGUCAUCACCUGGAAAGAAUGUGACUGAUGAUGAGAUAUUAGAUUGUAUUAAACAAAAAUAAUGUUUAAAACAAUUAAUUCAUUAACCUUCGGGUAAGAAAUCGAAUUCGACACAGGUCUCGAGACCAUUAGGUAGCAGUUCACCAGUAUCAACGUAAAGAUAGAUCGACAACUCCCCUUUAUAACCCUGCUUUACAAGAGCGUUUUUCAUAACGCCACAAAACAAUACAGGGUCGACACCAUUAGGAAUAGGGUAACCAGCCAUGUCCCAAAAGACUGAUGUCUUAGCGUCUGCAUGCAAACGAAAAAAAAAACGAUAUUAAACAAUUACGAGGACGAGGAAGAAAUUAAAAUAAAUAAAUCAAAAUUUUACUAUGACAGCAGAUCGACGAUUAGAUCAUACACUAGUUUUGUUACAAAAAAAAAAGAUCAGACACUAGUUUAAUUACGAUGACGUCAGAUCUCUCUAUGAGAUGAAAUCUAAUUCAGAUCACCGACGGAUGAUUUCAAGCAAAGAGGUAGAGAUAUUCUUACGUACUUUCGUAUAUUACGACCGGCAUAGGCACGGGUUUGCAGGUAAACUGCGGAUCAGACAUCAUCUCGGUAAACCGCGGAUCAGUCGUGCCUUCGUCCAUAACCAUGUCGAAAGGCUGCGGAAAAGACAUGCUUUCGUCGAUCUAGCUAGGGUUGGCUCUGUGGUUACUUGUAACUCUCCUUGUCUUCGUCUAUUUAUCCAAUCUCCCCCUCCAUAUAUAUGUCAGUGGGCUGGUUCGGCCGACCAGUUCAAAUUGUAACCUAGCCAAAUAAUUUCAUAAUUUGCACUGGUUUAUAUUUUAUUUUAAGUAAUUUUAAUUAUAUUGGCUUAACAAGUAUAUCCUAUAUAUUAUUUGUAAUUGUGAAAUAAGUCAAUAACUAAAUGAAAUGGAGAAAAAAAAUGAUCAUUUAGUUUAAAAAAUUUUGGGUUUCGCUUGACAAUUUAUUUGAUCAUGAAUUUGUACGUCGAUAAAAAAAAUAAUUGCUAUUAGACAAUUAUAAUAGAGAAGAUUGUCUCUGAAAAAAAAAUCUCAAAAGGUAUUUGCGUAUUCAAUAGCGUUAGAAUUGUUUUACAAAUCAAGAAAUCAUUAUCUGGAUUUUCAUAAAAGAUGAAAAAAUAGAAAACAUAGGAGAUAAAUAUGUGGAAGCACCAUAUAUAUAAGAACAAUAAAAGCAAAUAAUUUUUCAAAAAAAAAAAAUUUAAUGACAGUUCAUCACAAACAGCAGCUAAGCACCGCGGCGACCCGUCUCCUCUUCCGCUAAGACCACAUAUGGAACUUUAAGCGCAUGUUGGGCUCGUUGGGGGAAAGAAGGUAUCAGGAUGUUCAAUGGCAAAAUAGAAAUCUCUCUCUACCAAACUUUCAAUAACAUUCCAGACCUUGUGACGUUCUAGGAUGUUUUGGUUUUUAGUGAUUAUGAGCACAUUUGUUCCAUGAGGAUAAUGGGACAUUGCCCAGAAAAGAAGCUCCACUAACAUCAUGUUCAUUCGAGCAACUCUAUCCCCUGGAAACAGUAAAACCAACAUAUAUACACAUUAGUUAGAGUAGAUAGUGAGAGAAAAAAAAAAGUAAAAAUACCUUCAAAUAUUUUGGAAUAAAUUUCGGCUUCCAAAUACUUGUCAAGCAAUUCUUGGGGGAUGGUUUUCUUGUCACCAAAGUAACCCUUGAUAUUAAUCCGCCCACGAUAACCUUCUUUCUUAAUAGCUGUUAAGAUAUUCUCUUUAAGCAAAUGAGGAUUAGGGCUUGAGAAAUCCUCGGCGUCAAACAUAACAUACGUGGAACGCACUGCGAGGACAAAGUAAUAUCAUCAAGACAUAAUAACUAUAAACAAAAAAAAAAUCAGAUCGGGAAAACAAUGGAAUUUUAAAUCCCAUAUAUGAAAGAAAUUUAUUAUGAUGACAAAUCGAUCGGAUGAAAUCUACUCAUGAUGAACAAUUUAGAGAAAGUGAAUCGAUCUUACACAUCUCUUUUCUCUGAGGCUUGGGGAAAAGUCUGUCCAUCGUUUCGUCGGUGCUUGUGGACAUGGUUUCUACUCUGCGAACAAGAAAAUAGGAAAACCCUCCUCCUCUGCGUCAAUCCUAUAUAUAUAUUCAUAGAAAGGCCCAUGUGUUUUCUAUUGGGCUAGGCGCAGACGAAACGAUGUAUGAAAUCUAUACUAUUAAAAGGGAAGGAGUUUUAAAAAAUCUAGUUGUUGGACCCUUUCAUUAAACUUAACUAUUUUUUUUGGUCUCACCUUAUAUUUCUCCAACCAUGCAAUAGUCAAUUACCUUAUAUUUCUCUAACUAUGCAAUAAUCAAUUACCUUAUAUUUAUCUAAUUUAGUUUAAUAACAUAUUCUAAAUAUAUAUAUUCUAAAUAUAUUGUUAUAAUGAUUUUUGAUAAGAAUAUAUUAUAGAUGCGAUUGAAAAUUUAUAUUAUUAAAAGAAAAUAUUUUUAAAAAUAUUUAUAAAAAAAUUUAUAACAUCUAUAUAAAACUCUUUAUUUUUUAUCCUACCAUUAACUACAAUAACUAUAAAUAAUUUAAAUAAAUCCUAUUAUUAUUUCUCAUUUUGUAUGAUACACUUCUCUAAUUAUUUUUCUUAUUAUCAUCCAAUGUUAUUGUUGUUAUUCAAUAACGUUAUAUACAUCAUAUAUUAUGCUCAAAGAUGGAUAUAUAAUAUUUAGAUAUCAAUUAUUAAAAUGAAAGCAUAUAUCAUACAACAUAUUAUAUCAUGUCAUCUAACAUUAUAUAAUUCUAAAUAUUUACAAAAUCAAAUUUAAUAAAAAAAACACUUUAGCAAAUCAUUUGUUAAAACAAAAUUAUAUAUAUUUACGUUAAAUUAUUUUUUAUUACAUUAAUAUAUUAGAAGUUUCAUUCAUCUCUUAAAAUAUUAUUGAAGAUUAUUUUUUUCCUAGCAUAUAAACCAAAUGCCGGGUCACACUUGAUUGCAUGUUUUUUCGAAGUUUGCAUGCUUUAAAUUAACGAGUUUUCAUUAAAUCUAAACCAGCUUAUGUACAAGUCAUCGUGUUUACUGGUUCGACGACGGGUCCAAACUUAUUAUAAAAGUAUUGUUCUCAUCUAAUUGAAAAUAAUUUAUUAUAAAAUAACAGACGCACUGAGUCUAAUCAAUCCAUAUAUUUUUUUUUGAAAAAAGUAAUCAAACGAUUAAAAAUAUAAUUACAUAAUAAUAAUUUUUUUGACAUAAUAAUAAUUUUGUAACAUAAUAAUGUAUAAUAAAACUAAAAUACUAAUUCAUAUCAUAUAUUUUUAUCAACUGAAAAAUAAUCCGCACUUUUAAGCGCGGAUCAAAAUCUAGUAAUCUCUUAUAAACGCUACUACUUCAAAAGACAGAUGUCUUAGCGUGUCUGCAUGCAGACGAAAAAAACAAAACGAUUAAACAAUUACGUAGGACAAGGAAGGUAGACAAAACUAUAUAUAUAAAUCAAAAUUUUAAUAUGACAGCAGAUCGACCAGUAGAUCAUACACUAGUUUAAUUACGAUGACGUCAGAUCUCCGUCAGAUGAAAUCUAAUUCAGAUCACGGCUGGAUGAUUUCAAGCAUGGAGGUGGAGAUAUACAGAGAGAUAUUCUUACACACUUUCGUAUAUUACGACCGGCGUAGGCACGGGUUUGUAGGUAAACUGCGGAUCAGACAUCAUUUCGGUAAACCGCGGAUUAGUCAUGCCUGUUAAACCAAAUUACAUACAAUCAAUCUUACGAAUGUUGUUAAUACGUUUGCUUACUUCACACUCGUAGAUAAUUUAUAAACUUUUAUAAAUCCUACUCGAUUUAUAAACCCUUAUAAAAAGUUACGAGAUAAUUGUGUUUUUUUUUCUCACAACUUAACCGAUUAUGGUUUGAUAGAGGCUUGCCUGAGAAAUCUCCUAAAACAGAAUUUUGCCCUACAAUGAUGUGUAAUUUUGUACGCAUCUAUCUUGAGGAUACAACUAUCGAUCUCCGUACAACACACCCGUACCGAGACCCUUACAAACUUUACUUUGAAUUUAUUUUCAGAAACUUGUUAUGGGGAAGAAGAAGAUUAAAUUCAAUUGAUUCUCAGUCAUCUUCUUUUUUCAACUCUCUUUUAUCUAUCCCUUCUCGUAUUGUCCUGCCCUUGAUCGCUUUAUAUAUUGACUCAAGUAGUGCUUUUAAUCAAUGCAUGAGAUAUGUAUAAUGUGUGCAUUAGACACAAAUUAUUCCCACAUAAAAUCAAAAGAAAUUCAUCAAAACAAAACACAGAUUUAUAGUUUUAUACCAUGUUCUGAGUUUGCAAUCUACUCAGAAAUAUUGUCAGCUCCAAAGAUUCUAAGAAAGAUAUGGUAGUUUUGGAAAGUAAAACGUAGAAGAUUUGUAGCUUUUAGGCCUUAGGGUACUUGAAAAAUCAACAUGAAAUGAUGUGAACGAUUACUUUUUUAUAUAUUUUGGAAAUUUGGAAGAUGAGAAUCUCUUUUUUUAUUAUUAAUAUGAGAGUAGUUUUAAAUUAGCAUCUUAAAUAUAGGAAAUUGGUUGGUUUUGUAAUCUUGCAAAAUUCUAUAUGAUGUGAAAGUUGAUGGUUUAUAACUUAGUUAAGAAAAAUGGGGGUUAAGUCAAUGAUCCUUUUUUUCAUAUCAGUGUGUUAUAAAACGCGUUGGGCACUUGUUACCUCUAUGGCUCCUAUCACUUAACGUGGAUGCUUAAACGGAAUCUAAACAUAUAUAUAUAUAUAUAAUUAUUGCAUAUAACAUUAAUAUUAUUUUACUGAAAAUAAAGAGAAAUUUUCUAAGAAAGUUUUAAAAAAGAUUUUUAACAAAUAUAGCUACUAACGAUUAAAAUGACCAAAAUAUUUUAUUAAAAUGAUAAAUAUAUAUUUAUAUUUUCAGGAUAACUAAUAUAGAUUUAUGAUUCAGAGUUAAGGAGCAGUAUUUUGGAAAUGAUGCAUACAAUUUAAAAAAAUAAAAAUUAAUAUUAAAAAUUUGAAAUAGUUUUUCUAAAUAUUUUCAAAGAAAAUUUGAUUUUUUCUAAAUAUUUUAUUUAUUUAUUAUUUAUUUUAUUUAUUUAUUUAUAUUUAAAAUAAAUAUAAAUAAAAUAGUUUUUCUAAAUAUUUCGAAUUUUUUAAAAGAAAAUUUGAUUUUUUUUUUAAAACAUAUAAUUCAAAACUAUAAAAUAAUUUAUUUAUUUACUAUUUAUUUUAUUAUUUAUUUUAUUAUUUAUUUAUAUUUAUUAAUCUAGGGUAUAAAAGUAUUUUGACUUUUUAGUCAUUUUGAUCGUUAAGGCUUUUUUGUGACAAACAUUUAAAUGUUGUUUUUUUCGAGAGAAUUGUUCGCAAGUAAAAUAUAUAAAAAUAUAGUUUAAGAAUAUUGACUUAAUACUAACGAAACUAUAUAAAAAGUCGUGAGCUUCGAGAUCAUCUAGGAUAGACUCGAACACAUCUCAAGAGUAAUCAAGACGGUGAUUUAGGAGUCAUAACAUGCUUCAAAUGAAAUUUCAAAUAAGAUGUUUAUCUUCGUGAAAAGAAAAUAAAAAAAAAACUUAGUAUUCUUGAGACCAAAGCCGGAUCUGAGCACAGUUCCAUAAAACAUAAGUUCAAUUUUCGUAUAAAAAUACCUGCCUUUCAUUUUAUUGAAGAGAAAACCUCCCCCCAUUUGAACAAGAUGUUUAUCUUCGUGAAAAGAAAAUAAAAAAAACUUAGUAUUCUUGAGACCAAAGUCGGAUCUGAGCACAGUUCCAUAAAACAUAAGUUUUGGCCUUUAAAUUUUUGAAAAUUAUAUACAUAAAUAUAGACCUCCAAACUAUGGUUUUUACUAUUAUUAAAGUUAUUAAAUCUUCAUACUCUCUAAAUUUUUAGAUUUGGUCCUGCUUGGGACUGACAUGUAAUUGGAGAUUUUAUAUAGUACAUUUUUAUUGUUCAAAUGGAAGUAUCCCUCAGCACAAUUAAAGAAAUAUAAGGGAUAGAAAAGAAGGUGGUGUUGCGAGUGGCAUUCAAAUCUAUGAGAAUUCAAAGGCAAAGAAUGACGUGAAAAUAUAUAGAUAUCCAAAGGAGCGUUAAUGAGAUGAGCUCAUUGGUUAUUCUUUAUAAAUUUUAUGAUUGAAGCAACAACUCCUUAACGGAUUUGUCAAUGUAGUAGUGUUGACAACUCUUAGCUCCAUUAGUUGUUGUCCUUUACAUUUUCCAUUACACUACUACUACUUAUGUGUCAUCCACUUUUCUGUUGACAAAAGCUAAUGUCAAUCUAAUCCUUGUCAGCAUCCAAUCCAUCAUGUAAGUCUUAUUUGGUCGGUCCGUUUAUUGUUGGUUUGACAAAUUUGUGCUCAACCCUUAUUAAUCUUCUUGAUAAUUAUCAACAAGACCCUCUUAUUUGCUCUAGCAAAGAAUCUAUUCAACUUUGCCUGCAAGAUUACAUGAAUUGAGAUAUUACUAUGAAAACAAAAAAAACACAUUAAACAAGCUGAAUCAAAACCAGAUGACCGUUCAAAUUACCAUCAGGCAUAUUCUCAAGAAAACCUCAAAUGAAACCCUAAAACUUUGGUAUAGUUGACCCUGCAUAGAAAGUGCUUUAAGUAGGUUUAUCAUAUACAUAUAUACAUAUAUAUAUAUAUAUAUGAAAGCUAGUUAGCUCCUCCACCUAGUGAUGUAUACUAACUAAAAGAUAUAAUGGCACUUUAUAAAAUGCAAAUGAUGUAUUAUUAUUAGUACUAUAUAGGUAGUAGAGGAUGAUGUGCAAGGUAUGAGAAAGUGUUAGAAUAUAAAUAGUGGCGCAUAUAUAUUGAUUGUGUGUUAGUGAACUCGUGCGCUUGCUAAUUUUGACCCCAUUUACAUAGUUUAUAUUACUUUUGCGUACCUCAUAAGUUGAGAGACUUAGUGGAUGAAAUUAACCAGUAUCUUCUACCUAACCAAAGCUCUUUAAAUACUACUCUUUAACUAACAUCUCUUCUCACCACUACAAUACUCUAACUAAGCUGAUCCACCACCACAUACAUGUAUUAUUAUUCCCUUUUCAAGUAUCUUAUUACUUUCUCCUCUUAUUAGUGUUCUUGUUUCACCAUUGGUCUCGGUUACAACCAAACUCUUUCUUGAUCUCUCUCCUCUUGUGUCAAUAGAAAUCCCUCUAGUUGUAUUAAUUGUCCAUAGCAGAAUAAUGAAGAGCAUGGAGAAAUAUAAGAGAGUGAAGUUGCUUCUCAUCAUCUUUCUAGGAAUCUACUCAGUGGCAACGACCAGUGCAAGUCCAUGGCUGCCGAUGGAAGGAUAUAAUCCUGGUAGCUAUUGCUUAAGCUGGAGACUAGCAAUAGAGACCAACAAUGUACGCGCGUGGCGCACCGUUCCUAUUCAAUGUAUGCGUUAUGUUGAGGUAUACAUGCUUGCUGGCCAAUAUGACAGAGACGUUCAGUUAAUUGUGGAACAAAUUAGGGUCUAUCUCAGAGAGAUAGUCCUACCUGGAGAUGGUAUGGAUGCAUGGAUCUUCGAUGUUGAUGAUACUUGCUUCUCAAACGUCUUUUACUAUCGUCUCAAGAGAUACGGGUACACAAUUUCUUUUCCUUCUCACAUUUAACCAGUCUACUAAACACUAGUAGAAAAUAAUCCUAUAGCCACAAAAAAAUUCGUGAAGAAUAGUGAAAAAUAUGACUAGAUGUGUCAGUGCUAGAGUUGUAAAUAGAUAUCUCAGAAUAAAAAAUUAAAAAAGUAUAAAAAUCAUGAAAGAGGAGAGAAGCAUGUUCACCUGCAACAUUUUUAAGAAUCCAGAUGACCACAUGUCCUUCUCCAAUUGGAUUUGCUUUAGAAAAAUAAAACAAAAAUUGAAGUUUAAAUAAAAACAAAUGAAACUAGUAAUAUUUUUGGUUUGAGAUAUUUAAAUUUAGUAUCAACCGAUAAGGUUGCUCUUAUAUAUGUAACUAAUUAUGUCACGUUUUUAGAUAAACCGUGAGUAGGAAAUACACUGGUAGCUCAAGUGGUGUAUUAGAAGACAUCUUUAAAAGAAAACUAGUUUAACAUGUGUCACUUAGACCUAAAGUUAACAUGCAGAUGUGACCCUUAUGAUCCAACUGGAUUUAGAACAUGGGCGAUGAAAGGAGAGUCUCCAGCAAUACAGCCUGUUCUUGAACUGUUUAACGAACUGAUAGAAACAGGUUUCAAAGUUAUCCUAGUAACCGGAAGAGAUGAAGAAACUCUUGGCCAGGCAACACAAGAAAAUUUGCAUAAUCAAGGCUUCACUGGUUAUGAAAGGUUGAUUAUGAGGUUAGGAUCAGCUUUGCUUAUUUUUUUAAAGAUUUUUUUCAUAAUAUAAAAAGAAUAAUAGUAGGUCUUUCGUAAUGGGGACAAAUAUUAUAUUUUCAGGACGCCAGAGAACAAAAAGCACAGCGCAACAAUAUACAAAACAACAAUCAGAAAGCAAGUGAUGGAAGAAGGUUACAGGAUAUGGGGCAAUGUAGGUGACCAAUGGAGUGACUUACAAGGAGAAUAUUCAGGGAACCGCACCUUCAAGCUUCCUAACCCUAUGUAUUUUGUUCCUUAAGAAUUUUACUAUAAACCAUUUUCUACCAAUCAAAUUACAUGUACAACAUGAUCAUAUAUACACAAAGGUACAUCUCGACUUGUCAUGUGGCGGUCCAGUUUGCUCUUCCGUGAAAUCAUAAUAACAACAUGAUUUUCAAAUUCAUUCUAGUGAUCCACCUUCUGUCUUCUUCUCACAUUGGAACAACAAUAAAACCUCAUUGCUCAAAGGUUAUAUAUACCAUAGACAGAAAAAGAAUAUGAGAAUAUAAAUAAGCAAAAAAAUUAUAAGAGAUUCCAAAAUCAAACAAUAAGAAUCAAUCCAAUAAAUGUCUCUGUUUUUGUUUUUACAAUAACAAUUUUCAAUGCACGCCCCCUCCACAUGCACAUCAUUUUCCCUACGUAUAUAUUUUAUAUAUACUUUUUUCAUAUCUUUUUUUUUUUUUAAUAAUCUGUAAUGAAUCUCUGAUGUAGUCUCAUAACGACGAAUAAGUAAAAAUAAAUAAAUAAAUUAAAGGAAGGAAAACCACAUGGUCGCUCACCGGAGAGAGACCAUAGGGAGACCUUGACCACCACCACUGCAGUCAUUACUGGGCCAAACCAACACAUGAGUGUUUGUGUAUGCAGACAAUGUACCUUUGGUUGAAGAAGAUUAAACCAUUUUAAAACGCUCCUUUAGCAUCCUGUUUUGGGGCGUUUACCACUUGAGUUAAAAGGCGAAACGCUUCCACCGCCGCUUGGUCCUGGACUCUCUUCCCGCAAGGUGUUCGAGUUUAUCAACGCUAGCUCCCUUAGCUGCUGUCUCUUUAUGAAAUCUUGCGACUCGUCCUUCAUUACAACCACCAAACACAAAG
rnacentral:lncRNA from 1 species